UCGAGAAUAGUCUACAAUGGACGAAAGUCUGAUAGUGCGACGCCGCGUGAACGAAGAAACCUUUCGGGGUGUAAAGUUCUUUUCUGUGCGAGCAGUGGUGGUCAGAGUAAUAUGCUGAUCACUUGGAUAUUAGUACAGGAAUAAGCCACGGCUAACUCCGUGCCAGCAGCCGCGGUAACACGGGGGUGGCAAGCGUUGUCCGGAAUUACUAGGCGUAAAGGGCAGGUAGGCGGAUUUAUAAGUCGGACGUUUAAGCCUCAGUCUCAAGCUGAGAAAUGCGUUCGAUACUGUAAUUCUUGAAUACGGUGGGGGAAGACGGAAUUCCAGGUGUAGCGGUGGAAUGCGCAGAUAUCUGGAGGAACACCGAAGGCGAAGGCAGUCUUCUAUACCGAAAUUGACGCUAAACUGCGAAGGUGUGGGGAUCAAACAGG
rnacentral:rRNA from 1 species